rnacentral:rRNA from 1 species
CCUACGUGAGGCAGCAGUGAGGAAUAUUGGUCAAUGGGCGCGAGCCUGAACCAGCCAAGUAGCGUGAAGGAUGACUGCCCUACGGGUUGUAAACUUCUUUUAUAAAGGAAUAAAGUGAGGCACGUGUGCCUUUUUGUAUGUACUUUAUGAAUAAGGAUCGGCUAAAUCCGUGCCAGCAGCCGCGGUAAUACGGAGGAUCCGAGCGUUAUCCGGAUUUAUUGGGUUUAAAGGGAGCGUAGAUGGGUUGUUAAGUCAGUUGUGAAAGUUUGCGGAUCAACCGUAAAAUUGCAAGUGAUACUGGCAGUCUUGAGUACAGUUGAGGUAGGCGGAAUUCGUGGUGUAGCGGUGAAAUGCUUAGAUAUCACGAAGAACUCCGAUUGCGAAGGCAGCUUACUAAACUGCCACUGACAUUGAUGCUCGAAAGUGUGGGUAUCAAACAGGAUUAGAUACCCGAGUAGUC